rnacentral:rRNA from 1 species
GACGAACGCUGGCGGCGUGCUUAACACAUGCAAGUCGAACGAGACGAUUGAAAGCUUGCUCUUGAAAGUCGAGUGGCAAACGGGUAAGUAACGCGUAGACAACCUGCCUUUGAGAUGGGGACAACAGUUCGAAAGGACUGCUAAUACCGAAUGUUGUAUAUUUUCCACAUGGAAGAUAUAUUAAAGAUGGCCUCUAUUUAUAAGCUAUCGCUCAAAGAUGGGUCUGCGUCUGAUUAGCUGGUUGGUGGGGUAACGGCCUACCAAGGCGACGAUAAGUAGCCGGUCUGAGAGGAUGAACGGCCACUUUGGGACUGAGACACGGCCCAGACUCCUACGGGAGGUAGCAGUGGGGAAUCUUCCACAAUGGACGAAAGUCUGAUGGAGCAACGCCGCGUGAGUGAAGAAGGGUUUCGGCUCGUAAAGCUCUGUUGUCGGGGACGAAUGUGCAGUAUUUGAAUAAAGUACUGCAAUGACGGUACCUGACGAGGAAGCCACGGCUAACUACGUGCCAGCAGCCGCCGUAA